rnacentral:rRNA from 1 species
ACUCCUACGGGAGGCAGCAGUGGGGAAUAUUGCACAAUGGGCGCAAGCCUGAUGCAGCCAUGCCGCGUGUGUGAAGAAGGCCUUCGGGUUGUAAAGCACUUUCAGUCGUGAGGAAGGUAGUGUAGUUAAUAGCUUGCUAUAUUUUGAACGUUAGCGACAGAAGAAGCACCGGCUAACUCCGUGCCAGCAGCCGCGGUAAUACGGAGGGUGCGAGCGUUAAUCGGAAUUACUGGGCGUAAAGCGCAUGCAGGUGGUUUGUUAAAGUCAGAUGUGAAAGCC